GAAAUGCGAUAAGUAAUGUGAAUUGCAGAAUUCAGUGAAUCAUCGAAUCUUUGAACGCACCUUGUGCUCCUUGGUAUUCCUUGGAGCAUGCCUGUUUGAGUAUCAUGAAAUCUUCAAAGUAAAUCUUUUGUUAACUCAAUUGGUUUCUACUUUGGUAUUGGAGGUCUUUGCAGCUUCACACCUGCUCCUCUUUGUUCAUUAGCUGGAUCUCAGUGUUAUGCUUGGUUCCACUCGGCGUGAUAAGUUAUCUAUCGCUGAGGACACUGUAAAAGGUGGCCAAGGUAAAUGCAGAUGAACCGAUGCUAAUAGUCCAUUGACUUGGACAAUACUUUUAUGAUCUGAUCUCAAAUCAGGUAGGACUACCCGCUGAACUUAAGC
rnacentral:misc_RNA from 1 species